GAUGAACGCUAGCUACAGGCUUAACACAUGCAAGUCGAGGGACCGGCGCACGGGUGAGUAACACGUAUCCAACCUGCCCUUUACUCGGGGAUAGCCUUUCGAAAGAAAGAUUAAUACACGAUAUAAAGGAUGGGGAUGCGUUCCAUUAGGUUGUUGGUGAGGUAACGGCGCACCAAGCCUUCGAUGGAUAGGGGUUCUGAGAGGCAGGUCCCCCUGACUGGAACUGUGAUCCGGUCCAAACUCCGAGGGGAUGCAGGAGUUUGGAAUAUUGGUGAAUGGGGGCUAGCCUGAACCAGCCAAGUAGCUUGAAAGAUGAAUGCUUAUGGGUCGUAAACUUCUGUUAUAGAAGAAUAUGUAUUAUAAGAAUAAGGAUCGGCUAACUCCGUGCCAGCAGCCGCGGUAAUAC
rnacentral:rRNA from 1 species